rnacentral:lncRNA from 1 species
AGCAGUCCUCCUGCCUCGGCCUCCCAAAGUCCUGGGAUUACAGGUAUGAGACACUGUGCUGGGCCCCUGUCAAUUUUGGAAGGAUCCAGUUGUGUUUCUUCAUUCAUUUAACACAUAUUUGUAGAAAGCAAAUCCGUGCCAGGCAUAGAUGCUUGAGAUUCAUUAGCCAACGAAACAGAAAACAACCUGUGACCUCAUGGAGCCUCCAUCCCUAGCGGGACGGGUACAGCAGGGGCUUCACCCAGAGAGGCUUCCUGUGAAAACGCCCACUGGGUCCUGGGGAACUGGGAAUCCCCGGCCGCUUCUGCACAGGGCUCCUGGGUGGUUUCCUGUUUCGGCUCCACAGCCGGGGGAAGUUUCUGCUGUUUGCUCCUCUGCACUCUAAGCGGAGAUGUGCACACUCGCGAGCAGGGAUUUUUCUGGUUCAGGAAAGUCCUGCGUCCUUGGGCGCACUUUCACAAGUGUGAGAAAGCCAGUUCAAAUGUGACUUCCCGUGAGAAACCCUGCCUGGCCUCCCGCCCUCCCCGGCACUCUCAGCAUGAAUCAUGCUGCGUUGUCACUAUUGUCUUGCUCAUCUGUGCCUGUCGCAUUCCCUGAGUUCCUCCUGGCGGGGUCUCGGCCUUGUUCAUCUUUGGACCUGGUGGCCAGCACAGAGAAUGUGCUCAAUGAAUGUUUGCUGGAUUGAAUGACACACCCUCAGGUCCAAGUGGGCCAUGCCCCUCUGCCUGCAGCCUGGUGGCCGUCAGGGUCAGGGCUCCCAUGCUUUCUGAUACCCGGGAGGAUGGGUCUCUGACCAUGGGAUUUUGAAAUAGCAAUGAGCCUGAAUAACAUUUUGAGAUACUGGCAACAACGAAAGUGUGGAAUGAAACUUCCCGUUAUUUCUGCUGGCUAACACUAAGUGGUUGCCACCUAUGUUCAUAAUACAAGGAACUGCUCAGUUUCAACCAGAGACAAGGAGGCUCUGUCCAAGCUCCUGUCCUGGCUCGCUCAGCCCAGCCUUCAGGUUCUCAGCCCAACACGAGGGUCUCCUUGGGUAGUCAGCUCAAUCAUUUCAAGCUAUUAAUCAACGGACUUCUCCUGAAUGCAUCCAGACCUCUCCUCAAGGCUCUUGCUCCGUCGCCCAGGCUGAAGUGCAGUGGAG